rnacentral:sRNA from 1 species
GCUGGGUGUGGUGGUGCUUGCCUGUCAUUCCAACAACUUGGGAGGCUGAGGCUGGAGGAUCGCAAGUUUGAGGCUAGCCUCAGCAAUUCAGUGAGAUCCUGUCUCAA